rfam:Schistosoma mansoni, WGS project CABG00000000 data, chromosome 2 unplaced supercontig 0120, strain Puerto Rico
GCUGGGCGUGGUGGCGUGCGCCUGUAAUCUAGCUACUUGGAGGCCAGGGUGCGGGAUUUCGUGGGACCGGGAGUUCUGGCAUAUGGGUGCUCAUGUUGAUCGGGCGUCCACGCUAAGCACGGCGCCGAUAUGGAUGAGCUGUCGGAGGACGGGUUGUCCAGGUCGUCUAAGGAGGGGCGGACCGGCCCAGGGGGGAAACCCAGCAGGCAAAAGUCCCCGCGUGGUGCGGUAGCGGGAUAGCGCCUGUGAAUGGUGUCCAUGUGACAGCCCGGUUGGCGCGUGAAGACCGCCUCCUUU